rnacentral:piRNA from 1 species
UGAAUCUAUGGGCAACAGAUU